rnacentral:rRNA from 1 species
GAUGAACGCUGGCGGCGUGCCUAAUACAUGCAAGUCGAGCGAAUGGAUUAAGAGCUUGCUCUUAUGAAGUUAGCGGCGGACGGGUGAGUAACACGUGGGUAACCUGCCCAUAAGACUGGGAUAACUCCGGGAAACCGGGGCUAAUACCGGAUAACAUUUUGAACCGCAUGGUUCGAAAUUGAAAGGCGGCUUCGGCUGUCACUUAUGGAUGGACCCGCGUCGCAUUAGCUAGUUGGUGAGGUAACGGCUCACCAAGGCAACGAUGCGUAGCCGACAUGAGAGGGUGAGCGGCCACACUGGGACGGAGACACGGCCCAGACUCCUACGGGAGGCGGCAGUAGGGAAUCUUCCGCAAUGGACGAAAGUCUGACGGAGCAACGCCGCGUGAGUGAUGAAGGCUUUCGGGUCGUAAAACUCUGUUGUUAGGGAAGAACAAGUGCUAGUUGAAUAAGCUGGCACCUUGACGGUACCUAACCAGAAAGCCACGGCUAACUACGUGCCAGCAGCCGCGGUAA